GAACAUUCUCAGGAUAAACAUGA
rnacentral:siRNA from 1 species